rnacentral:misc_RNA from 1 species
UCAUCCCUCAAGCCUGGCUUGUCAUUGGACUUCAUCGUUAAAGAUGGGCCCGAAAGAUAAUGGCGGUGUCGUGAUCGACCCUCGGUGCAACAAGCUUCUACAGCACGUAUCGUAGUGGUCGGCCGGCCCGGUCUUAACCAUAAUUUUCUCA